GGGCUGCCAUCCGGCAUAGGGGCACCAGUUUAAUAAUACUGCCUAGGGCCCCAUAAAUCCUAAGGACGGCCCUGCGGGGCCGGGUCACUGCUAGGCCAGGACAUCCCUUCUCCCUGGGGCCAGGUCACUGCUGGGCCGGGACGUCCCUUCCCCUCACAGCCGGGACGCUGCUGGGUUGGGAGGUCCCUUCCCCUCAGGGCCGGGACGCUGCUGGGCCGGGACAUCCCUUCUCCCUGAAGCCAGGACGCUGCUGGGCCGGAAGGUCCCUUCCCCUCGGUGCCGGGAUGGUGCUGGGCCGGGACGUACCUUCUCCCUAAAGCCAGGACACUGCUGGGCCGGGACGUCCCUUCUCCCUGAAGCCAGGACACUGCUGGGCCGGGAGGUCCCUUCUCCCCAGGACUGGGCUGCCCUGUCUCUGUUCCCAAGCCCAGAGGCACUGGAGCCGGCUGCAGUGCAAUGAGGCCAGGCUGCAGCUGCAGCAGGACCCGCCUCCUCUGCUGAAUCAGCAAUUCCUCCUGUGGCUGUGAGGUGCCUCCAUCCUUCCCCACCCAGCCCUGACUCAGCACCAUUCUGCUUUCUCCCCCUCCCCUCAUUAACCCUCGCCUCUCCAGGGCUGCUGGAAAUGACCAUGCGCCUCUGUGAUUGGCUCUGGCAGCUGCCCCGGCUGUGCAGGCAAUGUUCUGGGGGUCAGGGUGAAGUCAUUUUGGGGGCCAGUCUAA